AGAAGAGAGGAGGAGUAAGUGGUGGGGAGACAGAUGGGGAGCUGGCAGGAACUCCGGGGGGAUCCCCAAGUCCCAUGUUAUUCUGGAAGGUUGUGCCAAGAAGGAUCUGUUGGUUGCUCUCCCUCCCAUCUGGGUCUCGCUGCACCCUAAGAAGUGACUGUCCAUCUGGGCAGGCCCAGAGCUGAUCGCUUGUGAGCCCCCUCCCUCUGCUUGGCAGACACUGAGCGAGGCCUGGGCUCUAUCCCUCAGCAAAAAACACGAGGAAGCCCUGGGCUGAUUCAGGGAACACUUGUUUGCCCUUCCUUGCUUGGCUGUCGGUGGAAGGAGAAAGGACUGUCCAGGCACUGUCCCCUGCUGAACAUAGUCCUUUGCCCUGACAUUUGGGGAUCGUGGCCUAGCUCCCAGUGGUUAAAGAUCGUAUGGCUCGAGUGUAGGACCUGACUGGAAGUACUCAGAACAAGAGCCCAGGCCUGGGUGCUGCUCUGAGAUAUGCAGGAGAAGCCUGAAGAAAGCCCUUCUGGAGUGGCAACCUGUUCCUCCCUCUGGGAAAUACCUGAGCCUGAAGCCUGCAAGGGAUCCUGGGAGGACCCAUGACAUCUGCCAGCAGCCUGGACACCUUGGUCCUGAGACCCAGGACAACUGUGUGGAGAACAGAUCUGGAAUGGAUCACUUGAUCUUGUGUAUGCUGGACAAAGGCUUCAGAUCCAACCAUUUCAAUUUGACAAACACCAUCACAUCUCACGACAUCGUCCUCCACAAAGAAAUCCUGCGUUCCAUCCUAACAAAUACCUGUGCUAUACUGCACUGUUCCGCUUGCCUCCUGCCCUGCCUCCUUUGGUUUCUUCGACAGCCUUCCCUGGAGUCACUGCCUUCUACACAGUGCCUAAGAGCAAGCCCAUGAAACAUUCAUGGCCCCACAUGGUGGGAGAACCAAGUUCUACAAGUUGUCUUCGAACUUCUACAUGGGCCAUGGUGCACCUGGUCACAUAUUCAAUAAAUAAGUAUAAUUCUAAAU